AGAGUUUGAUCCUGGCUCAGGACGAACGCUGGCGGCGCGCUUAACACAUGCAAGUCGAGCGAGAACCCUGGGCUUCGGCCCUGGGGACAGCGGCGAACGGGUGAGUAACACGUGGGUAAUCUGCCCUCGGCAUCGGGAUAGCCCGGGGAAACCCGGAUUAAUACCGAAUAGCCUCCGGAGCCUUCGGGCGCCGGAGAAAAGGUAGCUUCGGCCUCUGGCCGAGGAUGAGCCCGCGGCGGAUUAGCUUGUUGGCGGGGUAACGGCCCACCAAGGCGACGAUCCGUAGCUGGUCUGAGAGGACGAUCAGCCACACUGGGACUGAGACACGGCCCAGACUCCUACGGGAGGCAGCAGUGGGGAAUCUUGCGCCAAUGCGGGAAACCGUGACGCAGCGACGCCGCGUGGGGGAAGAAGGCCUUCGGGUUGUAAACCUCUUUCAGGAGGGACGAAGCCACUCGGGUGAAUAGCCCAGAGGGUGACGGUACCUCCAGAAGAAGCCCCGGCUAACUACGUGCCAGCAGCCGCGGUAAUACGUAGGGGGCAAGCGUUGUCCGGAUUUAUUGGGCGUAAAGAGCGUGUAGGCGGCCUGGUAGGUCUGCUGUGAAAACUCGAGGCUCAACCUCGAGAUGUCGGCGGAAACCAUCUGGCUAGAGUCCGGAAGAGGAGAGUGGAAUUCCUGGUGUAGCGGUGAAAUGCGCAGAUAUCAGGAAGAACACCUAUGGCGAAGGCAGCUCUCUGGGACGGUACUGACGCUGAGACGCGAAAGCGUGGGGAGCGAACAGGAUUAGAUACCCUGGUAGUCCACGCCGUAAACGAUGGGUGCUAGGUGUGGGCGGUGUCGACUCCGUCCGUGCCGAAGCUAACGCAUUAAGCACCCCGCCUGGGGAGUACGGCCGCAAGGCUAAAACUCAAAUGAAUUGACGG
rnacentral:rRNA from 1 species